rnacentral:rRNA from 1 species
UUUGGUUAAGUUAGAAAGGGCGCACGGUGGAUGCCUUGACACUAGGAGUCGAUGAAGGACGGGACUAACGCCGAUAUGCUUCGGGGAGCUGUAAGUAAGCUUUGAUCCGAAGAUUUCCGAAUGGGGAAACCCACCAUACGUAAUGGUAUGGUAUCCUUAUCUGAAUACAUAGGGUAAGGAAGACAGACCCAGGGAACUGAAACAUCUAAGUACCUGGAGGAAGAGAAAGCAAAUGCGAUUUCCUGAGUAGCGGCGAGCGAAACGGAACAUAGCCCAAACCAAGAGGCUUGCCUCUUGGGGUUGUAGGACAUUCUAUACGGAGUUACAAAGGAACGAGGUAGACGAAGCGACCUGGAAAGGUCCGUCGUAGAGGGUAACAACCCCGUAGUCGAAACUUCGUUCUCUCUUGAAUGUAUCCUGAGUACGGCGGAACACGUGAAAUUCCGUCGGAAUCUGGGAGGACCAUCUCCCAAGGCUAAAUACUCCCUAGUGAUCGAUAGUGAACCAGUACCGUGAGGGAAAGGUGAAAAGCACCCCGGAAGGGGAGUGAAAGAGAUCCUGAAACCGUGUGCCUACAAAUAGUCAGAGCCCGUUAACGGGUGAUGGCGUGCCUUUUGUAGAAUGAACCGGCGAGUUACGAUCCCGUGCGAGGUUAAGCUGAAGAGGCGGAGCCGCAGCGAAAGCGAGUCUGAAUAGGGCGUUUAGUACGUGGUCGUAGACCCGAAACCAGGUGAUCUACCCAUGUCCAGGGUGAAGUUCAGGUAACACUGAAUGGAGGCCCGAACCCACGCACGUUGAAAAGUGCAGGGAUGAGGUGUGGGUAGCGGAGAAAUUCCAAUCGAACCUGGAGAUAGCUGGUUCUCCCCGAAAUAGCUUUAGGGCUAGCCUUAAGUGUAAGAGUCUUGGAGGUAGAGCACUGAUUGGACUAGGGGUCCUCAUCGGAUUACCGAAUUCAGUCAAACUCCGAAUGCCAAUGACUUAUCCUUAGGAGUCAGACUGCGAGUGAUAAGAUCCGUAGUCAAAAGGGAAACAGCCCAGACCGCCAGCUAAGGUCCCAAAGUGUGUAUUAAGUGGAAAAGGAUGUGGAGUUGCUUAGACAACUAGGAUGUUGGCUUAGAAGCAGCCACCAUUUAAAGAGUGCGUAAUAGCUCACUAGUCGAGUGACUCUGCGCCGAAAAUGUACCGGGGCUAAAUACACCACCGAAGCUGCGGAUUGAUACCAAUGGUAUCAGUGGUAGGGGAGCGUUCUAAGGACAGUGAAGUCAGACCGGAAGGACUGGUGGAGUGCUUAGAAGUGAGAAUGCCGGUAUGAGUAGCGAAAGACGGGUGAGAAUCCCGUCCACCGAAUGCCUAAGGUUUCCUGAGGAAGGCUCGUCCGCUCAGGGUUAGUCAGGACCUAAGCCGAGGCCGACAGGCGUAGGCGAUGGACAACAGGUUGAUAUUCCUGUACCACCUCUUUAUCGUUUGAGCAAUGGAGGGACGCAGAAGGAUAGAAGAAGCGUGCGAUUGGUUGUGCACGUCCAAGCAGUUAGGCUGAUAAGUAGGCAAAUCCGCUUAUCGUGAAGGCUGAGCUGUGAUGGGGAAGCUCCUUAUGGAGCGAAGUCUUUGAUUCCCCGCUGCCAAGAAAAGCUUCUAGCGAGAUAAAAGGUGCCUGUACCGCAAACCGACACAGGUAGGCGAGGAGAGAAUCCUAAGGUGUGCGAGAGAACUCUGGUUAAGGAACUCGGCAAAAUGACCCCGUAACUUCGGGAGAAGGGGUGCUUUCUUAACGGAAAGCCGCAGUGAAUAGGCCCAAGCGACUGUUUAGCAAAAACACAGCUCUCUGCGAAGCCGUAAGGCGAAGUAUAGGGGGUGACACCUGCCCGGUGCUGGAAGGUUAAGGAGAGGGGUUAGCGUAAGCGAAGCUCUGAACUGAAGCCCCAGUAAACGGCGGCCGUAACUAUAACGGUCCUAAGGUAGCGAAAUUCCUUGUCGGGUAAGUUCCGACCCGCACGAAAGGUGUAACGAUUUGGGCACUGUCUCAACCAGAGACUCGGUGAAAUUAUAGUACCUGUGAAGAUGCAGGUUACCCGCGACAGGACGGAAAGACCCCGUGGAGCUUUACUGUAGCCUGAUAUUGAAUUUUGGUACAGUUUGUACAGGAUAGGCGGGAGCCUUUGAAACCGGAGCGCUAGCUUCGGUGGAGGCGCUGGUGGGAUACCGCCCUGACUGUAUUGAAAUUCUAACCUACGGGUCUUAUCGACCCGGGAGACAGUGUCAGGUGGGCAGUUUGACUGGGGCGGUCGCCUCCUAAAGUGUAACGGAGGCGCCCAAAGGUUCCCUCAGAAUGGUUGGAAAUCAUUCGUAGAGUGCAAAGGCAUAAGGGAGCUUGACUGCGAGACCUACAAGUCGAGCAGGGACGAAAGUCGGGCUUAGUGAUCCGGUGGUUCCGCAUGGAAGGGCCAUCGCUCAACGGAUAAAAGCUACCCCGGGGAUAACAGGCUUAUCUCCCCCAAGAGUCCACAUCGACGGGGAGGUUUGGCACCUCGAUGUCGGCUCAUCGCAUCCUGGGGCUGUAGUCGGUCCCAAGGGUUGGGCUGUUCGCCCAUUAAAGCGGUACGCGAGCUGGGUUCAGAACGUCGUGAGACAGUUCGGUCCCUAUCCGUCGUGGGCGUAGGAAAUUUGAGAGGAGCUGUCCUUAGUACGAGAGGACCGGGAUGGACGCACCGCUGGUGUACCAGUUGUUCUGCCAAGGGCAUAGCUGGGUAGCUAUGUGCGGAAGGGAUAAGUGCUGAAAGCAUCUAAGCAUGAAGCCCCCCUCAAGAUGAGAUUUCCCAUAGCGUAAGCUAGUAAGAUCCCUGAAAGAUGAUCAGGUUGAUAGGUUCGAGGUGGAAGCAUGGUGACAUGUGGAGCUGACGAAUACUAAUAGAUCGAGGACUUAACCAUAUAA